UUAAGCGACUAAGCGUACACGGUGGAUGCCCUGGCAGUCAGAGGCGAUGAAGGGCGUGCUAAUCUGCGAUAAGCGCCGGUAAGGUGAUAUGAACCGUUAUAACCGGCGAUACCCGAAUGGGGAAACCCAGUGUGACUCGUCACACUAUCAUUAACUGAAUCCAUAGGUUAAUGAGGCGAACCGGGGGAACUGAAACAUCUAAGUACCCCGAGGAAAAGAAAUCAACCGAGAUUCCCCCAGUAGCGGCGAGCGAACGGGGAGGAGCCCAGAGCCUGAAUCAGCAUGUGUGUUAGUGGAAGCGUCUGGAAAGGCGCGCGAUACAGGGUGACAGCCCCGUACACAAAAGCGCAUGUGCUGUGAGCUCGAUGAGUAGGGCGGGACACGUGGUAUCCUGUCUGAAUAUGGGGGGACCAUCCUCCAAGGCUAAAUACUCCUGACUGACCGAUAGUGAACCAGUACCGUGAGGGAAAGGCGAAAAGAACCCCGGCGAGGGGAGUGAAAAAGAACCUGAAACCGUGUACGUACAAGCAGUGGGAGCCCCACCACCAAAGCAUUCUCUGGUGUUGAAGGCCCUGCAAAGCAGCAUCGCGGUGGCGGAGCGUCGUUUGCGACGCCCAACACACAAAACAAGCGGUGAGUGCUUUGGGGUGGGGUGACUGCGUACCUUUUGUAUAAUGGGUCAGCGACUUAUAUUCUGUAGCAAGGUUAACCGUAUAGGGGAGCCGUAGGGAAACCGAGUCUUAACCGGGCGUUAAGUUGCAGGGUAUAGACCCGAAACCCGGUGAUCUAGCCAUGGGCAGGUUGAAGGUUGGGUAACACUAACUGGAGGACCGAACCGACUAAUGUUGAAAAAUUAGCGGAUGACUUGUGGCUGGGGGUGAAAGGCCAAUCAAACCGGGAGAUAGCUGGUUCUCCCCGAAAGCUAUUUAGGUAGCGCCUCGUGAAUUCAUCUUCGGGGGUAGAGCACUGUUUCGGCUAGGGGGUCAUCCCGACUUACCAACCCGAUGCAAACUGCGAAUACCGGAGAAUGUUAUCACGGGAGACACACGGCGGGUGCUAACGUCCGUCGUGAAGAGGGAAACAACCCAGACCGCCAGCUAAGGUCCCAAAGUCAUGGUUAAGUGGGAAACGAUGUGGGAAGGCCCAGACAGCCAGGAUGUUGGCUUAGAAGCAGCCAUCAUUUAAAGAAAGCGUAAUAGCUCACUGGUCGAGUCGGCCUGCGCGGAAGAUGUAACGGGGCUAAACCAUGCACCGAAGCUGCGGCAGCGACACUGUGUGUUGUUGGGUAGGGGAGCGUUCUGUAAGCCUGCGAAGGUGGCCUGUGAGGGUUGCUGGAGGUAUCAGAAGUGCGAAUGCUGACAUAAGUAACGAUAAAGCGGGUGAAAAGCCGCUCGCCGGAAGACCAAGGGUUCCUGUCCAACGUUAAUCGGGGCAGGGUGAGUCGACCCUAAGGCGAGGCCGAAAGGCGUAGUCGAUGGGAAACAGGUUAAUAUUCCUGUACUUGGUGUUACUGCGAAGGGGGGACGGAGAAGGCUAUGUUGGCCGGGCGACGGUUGUCCCGGUUUAAGCGUGUAGGUGUGUGUUCCAGGUAAAUCCGGUUCACUUUAACACUGAGGCGUGAUGACGAGGCACUACGGUGCUGAAGCAACAAAUGCCCUGCUUCCAGGAAAAGCCUCUAAGCAUCAGGUAACAUCAAAUCGUACCCCAAACCGACACAGGUGGUCAGGUAGAGAAUACCAAGGCGCUUGAGAGAACUCGGGUGAAGGAACUAGGCAAAAUGGUGCCGUAACUUCGGGAGAAGGCACGCUGACAUGUAGGUGAAGUGAUUUACUCAUGGAGCUGAAGUCAGUCGAAGAUACCAGCUGGCUGCAACUGUUUAUUAAAAACACAGCACUGUGCAAACACGAAAGUGGACGUAUACGGUGUGACGCCUGCCCGGUGCCGGAAGGUUAAUUGAUGGGGUCAGCGCAAGCGAAGCUCCUGAUCGAAGCCCCGGUAAACGGCGGCCGUAACUAUAACGGUCCUAAGGUAGCGAAAUUCCUUGUCGGGUAAGUUCCGACCUGCACGAAUGGCGUAAUGAUGGCCAGGCUGUCUCCACCCGAGACUCAGUGAAAUUGAACUCGCUGUGAAGAUGCAGUGUACCCGCGGCAAGACGGAAAGACCCCGUGAACCUUUACUAUAGCUUGACACUGAACAUUGAGCCUUGAUGUGUAGGAUAGGUGGGAGGCUUUGAAGUGUGGACGCCAGUCUGCAUGGAGCCGACCUUGAAAUACCACCCUUUAAUGUUUGAUGUUCUAACGUGGACCCGUGAUCCGGGUUGCGGACAGUGUCUGGUGGGUAGUUUGACUGGGGCGGUCUCCUCCUAAAGAGUAACGGAGGAGCACGAAGGUUGGCUAAUCCUGGUCGGACAUCAGGAGGUUAGUGCAAUGGCAUAAGCCAGCUUGACUGCGAGCGUGACGGCGCGAGCAGGUGCGAAAGCAGGUCAUAGUGAUCCGGUGGUUCUGAAUGGAAGGGCCAUCGCUCAACGGAUAAAAGGUACUCCGGGAUAACAGGCUGAUACCGCCCAAGAGUUCAUAUCGACGGCGGUGUUUGGCACCUCGAUGUCGGCUCAUCACAUCCUGGGGCUGAAGUAGGUCCCAAGGGUAUGGCUGUUCGCCAUUUAAAGUGGUACGCGAGCUGGGUUUAGAACGUCGUGAGACAGUUCGGUCCCUAUCUGCCGUGGGCGCUGGAGAACUGAGGGGGGCUGCUCCUAGUACGAGAGGACCGGAGUGGACGCAUCACUGGUGUUCGGGUUGUCAUGCCAAUGGCACUGCCCGGUAGCUAAAUGCGGAAGAGAUAAGUGCUGAAAGCAUCUAAGCACGAAACUUGCCCCGAGAUGAGUUCUCCCUGAGACUUUAGGUCUCCUGAAGGAACGUUGAAGACGACGACGUUGAUAGGCCGGGUGUGUAAGCGCAGCGAUGCGUUGAGCUAACCGGUACUAAUGAACCGUGAGGCUUAACCUU
rnacentral:rRNA from 1 species